rnacentral:sRNA from 1 species
AUUUAGCCCCGAUCGAAGUGGCAUCCUUUUUUUGAUAGUUAAUAGGUGCAAACCGGUUAACUAUAAAAAAAGAUACAACGUAGAGCGGGACGAUGU